AGUUUCCGGUGUAUAGUCUCAAACAAUCAGGGAUUUGGUACUACCGAAGUACGGUUACUUUCUAGACCACCAAACAUCGUGAUCCCGAUCAGCCAGAAGAACGGCAUGGUAGGGUCCACCAUCACCAUGACACUCAAGUGGCAGGGGCUGCCCAUCCCUACCAUGGAGUGGAUCAGACAGGGUGACGUGAUCGCCACCAGGACACCAGACGGAGUGGUCAAGAAAACAUCUUCGAAGUAUAACGUGACAGAAGAGGGCUACCUGAUCAUCAAAAACUUGGCACCAGAAGACGCAGGAAGUUACAGCUUCAGAAUCCAAAACGUCCUAGGCAGUAGAGACACAGCUGGGAGACUAUA